UACAUCAUACAAAAACCAGAAAAAUAAAUUACAUCAUUCUGGUGGGGUGUUUAUUCCUUGCUUUUGCUUUCUAUUUUGCUUUCUGCUUUUGCUUUUCUUUUGUUUUUUUUUUCAGAAAAGAGGAACAUGCAUGAUUCAGAAGUUGGUGGUCGACAGUUGGUUUUCAGAAAAUGGGCAGGUUUAUGAUGAAGAAUCUUAUCUUGUCUCUUUGCCCAUGUUGUCCAUGACCCAAUCACCUUUGCCCAUGUUGUCCAUGAACCAAUCACUGCUGGCCUUGACCCUAGCCCUGGUCGACUCAGAGAGCAUCCAUUGCACUUGCAGAUAGAGGGAACCUUGUGCUUGGAGAGCAAAUUGUACUCAAGCAAGAUCUUCUAAGGUUGAGGGUUCUUUCUCUUUAGUUGUUCUCUGUGCUCCACCAGGUCCAUCUUCACUCUCUUUAUUCUUAUAAUCAUUAGGUCGCAGUUCAGGACCAACAUCCCGCACCCAGCUGGCGGCAUAAAGCAUAGAAGCCUCAUGUAACUUCGGAAUGUACCUCGCUCAAACUCAAUAGGGUUUUCACACCUGAAAUUUUGAAAAAAUAUGGGUGUCCAGAGAAAACCAAAUUGAAGUUUGAAGAAAUGGCGGUGGGCGCGCCGUCACUGCUGAGAAGAUCGCAGCCUUGGUGAAAUCUGUUAAUGUGUUGGUGGAGUCAUACUGGCCGGGCCUCUUUGCCAAGCUUGUGACGGAGCGUGAUCUUCGUUGUCUCCAAUACAGAACCCGCGGUCUCCAACUCAAAACCUUGAAUGGAAUCAACUAAAUAAAGCUGUCUCCGGUGUCGCCCUGCAUCAUUGGAUCGUGAUCUUCGUUGUCUUCGGAUUCCAAGUCGACUGAGUCGUGAACUCGGUCGUGGUUAGGUGGACUGAGUCGGGAUUCCAGGUGGACUGGGUCGGGAUUCCAGGUGGACUGGGUCGGGAUUCCAGGUGGACUGAGCCGGUGGAAGAUGGCGGGAAAGGUCGACCGGAAGCAGAGAGUUGGAAGAGAGCACAGGAGGAAGAAAACAGUGGAUGGAGUCAAACGAGUUAACUCCCAAGAUAGUAGAAGAGGCUACGACAACCACGUGAUGGUUGUAGGCGUCAACGAGAUGGGGUUGACCAUUAGUUGAUGAUGGUUCAAUUUCGAUGGGCAGCGGUGGUGCCAUUACAGCUUACAAGGCUAAUUAGAAAAGGAGUUGAAUAACAGUAGCAGUACUGAUGGAAUAAUGGAGCUAGCUAGGGUUGGAUUUUUAGAUCUGGGUCCUUAUCUCCCCUAAAUAUUCGGGUCCUCCCCUGCCAUUCUGUAGGUGUUUGAUUUCUUGGAUUUUGCAGAUACA